CUACGGGAUGCACCAGCAAGGAAUAUUGGGCAAUGGGCGAAAGCCUGACCCAGCGACGCCGCGUGAGGGAUGAAGGGCUUCGGUUCGUAAACCUCUUUUCCCAGGGAUGAAUAAUGACAGUACCUGGGGAAUAAGUCACGUGCUAACUACGUGCCAGCAGCCGCGGUAAAACGUAGGUGGCGAGCGUUAUCCGGAUUUACUGGGCGUAAAGUGGGCGUAGGCGGCUCUUCAAGUCAGGUGUAAAAUCUCCCGGCUCAACUGGGAGGCACCAUUUGAUACUGUUGAGCUUGAGGACAGCAGAGGGAGGUAGAAUUCCCGGUGUAGUGGUGGAAUGCGUAGAUAUCGGGAGGAAUACCAGUGGCGAAAGCGGCCUCCUAGGCUGUUUCUGACGCUGUUGCCCGAAAGCGUGGGGAGCAAACAGGAUUAGAUACCCUAGUAGUC
rnacentral:rRNA from 1 species